rnacentral:sRNA from 1 species
GCUGGGUGUGGUGGUGCACACCUAUAAUCCCAGCAACUUGGGAGGCUAAGAUAGGAAGAUGGCAAGUUUAAGACCAGCCUCAGCAAUUUAGUGAGACCCAAAGCAACUUAGUGAAACCUUAUCUUGA